GGCUAUGAUCAAACCACCCUGAGCCUGCCUAGUCUCAUCUGAUCUCAGAUGCAAAGCAGGGUCAGACCUGGUUAGAACAUUUACCUGGAAGACAGGUAAAAUUAAUCA
rnacentral:rRNA from 1 species